AAGGUUCUUUCCUUUUGAGCAGAACAGUAUCUACUCCAUUCACUAAUGGCGUAUCAUGCUAGUCGCUAUGAUUGACAUUUGUUGAAGUCACAGAAAUUUCCGGAAUGUUAUUGGUCCACCUGACAGUCCAGGAUGCCAAUUGAACCCAUGAGCAAUUGUGGACUUGAAUACACAGUGAUGACCUAAGAUAAGUGACUGCUUGAAGAGAACAAUGGUAAUAAAGAGACUCCUGGAGGAUCUCUUGAGCCCAGGAAUUUGAGACAAGACUAGGCAACAAAGCAAAACCCCA
rnacentral:lncRNA from 10 species